rnacentral:rRNA from 1 species
AUUGAACGCUGGCGGCAUGCUUUACACAUGCAAGUCGAACGGUAACAGGCCGCAAGGUGCUGACGAGUGGCGAACGGGUGAGUAAUGCAUCGGAACGUGCCCAGUCGUGGGGGAUAACUACUCGAAAGAGUAGCUAAUACCGCAUACGAUCUAUGGAUGAAAGCGGGGGACCGUAAGGCCUCGCGCGAUUGGAGCGGCCGCUGUCAGAUUAGGUAGUUGGUGGGGUAAAGGCUCACCAAGCCAACGAUCUGUAGCUGGUCUGAGAGGACGACCCGCCACACUGGGACUGAGACACGGCCCAGAACCCUACGGGAGGGAGCAGUGGGGAAAUUUGGACCAUGGGCGGAAGCCCGAUCCAGCAAUGCCGCGUGGAGGAAGGAGGCCUUCGGGUUGUAAAAUGCUUUUGUACGGAAAGAAACGGCUCUGGUUAAAACCCGGGGCUAAUGACGGUACCGUAAGAAUAAGCACCGGCUAACUACGUG